GCGUGAGUGAUGAAGGUUUCGGAUCGUAAAACUCUGUUGUUAGGGAAGAACAAGUGCCAUAGUAACUGAUGGCACCUUGACGGUACCUAACCAGAAAGCCACGGCUAACUACGUGCCAGCAGCCGCGGUAAUACGUAGGUGGCAAGCGUUGUCCGGAAUUAUUGGGCGUAAGGCGCUCGCAGGCGGUUCUUUAAGUCUGAUGUGAAAUCUUACGGCUCAACCGUAAACGUGCAUUGGAAACUGGGGAACUUGAGUGCAGAAGAGGAGAGUGGAAUUCCACGUGUAGCGGUGAAAUGCGUAGAGAUGUGGAGGAACACCAGUGGCGAAGGCGACUCUCUGGUCUGUAACUGACGCUGAGGAGCGAAAGCGUGGGGAGCGAACAGGAUUAGAUACCCUGGUAGUCCACGCCGUAAACGAUGAGUGCUAGGUGUCAGGGGGUUUCCGCCCCUUAGUGCUGAAGUUAACGCAUUAAGCACUCCGCCUGAGGAGUACGGACGCAAGGCUGAAACUCAACAGAAUUGACGGGGGACCGAACAAGCGGUGGAGCAUGUGGUUCAAUCCGAACGCAACGCGAAGAACCUUACCAGGUCUUGACUU
rnacentral:rRNA from 1 species